rnacentral:rRNA from 1 species
UACGGAGGAUGCAAGCGUUAUCCGGAUUUAUUGGGUUUAAAGGGUGCGUAGGCGGAUUAAUAAGUCAGCGGUGAAAACCUUCAGCUUAACUGGAGACUUGCCAUUGAUACUGUUAGUCUUGAGUAUGGUUAAGGUAGGCGGAAUGUGUAAUGUAGCGGUGAAAUGCUUAGAUAUUACACAGAACACCAAUUGCGAAGGCAGCUUACUGAGCCAUAACUGACGCUGAUGCACGAAAGCGUGGGGAGCGAACAGGAUUAGAUACCCUGGUAGUCCACGCCGUAAACGAUGAUCACUCGCUGUUGGCGAUACACAGUCAGCGGCUAAGCAAAAGCAUUAAGUGAUCCACCUGGGGAGUACGGCCGCAAGGCUG